CUUCGGGGUGCCCAGGCGCGAAAACUUUGCAAUACACGAAAGUGUGACAGGGUCAUCCCGAGUGCCGACCGCUGAGGUUGGCUUUUACCCAGUCUAGAAAGCUGGGGGAAUAAGGAGAGGGCAAGUCUGGUGUCAGCCGCCGCGGUAAUACCAGCUCUCCGAGUGGUGUGGACGUUUAUUGGGCCUAAAGCAUCCGUAGCUGGCUGAUCAAGUCCCCUGUUAAACCCACCGAUUUAAUCGUUGGCUUGCGGGGGAUACUGCUCGGCUAGGGGACGAGAGAGGCAGACGGUAUUCCCGGGGUAGGGGUGAAAUCCUAUAAUCCCGAGAAGACCACCAGUGGCGAAGGCUGUCUGCUAGAACGCGCCCGACGGUGAGGGAUGAAAGCUGGGGGAGCGAACCGGAUUAGAUACCCGGGUAGUCCCAGCUGUAAACGAUGCAGACUAGGUGUUUGGACGGCCACGUGCCGUUCUAGUGCCGCAGGGAAGCUGUUAAGUCUGCCGCCUGGGGAGUACGAUCGCAAGAUUGAAACUUAAAGGAAUUGGCGGGGGAGCAC
rnacentral:rRNA from 1 species